ACAGCUUUUUCAAGCGUUGUUCGGAAUUACUGGGCGUAAAGGGCGUGUAGGCGGCACGGUAAGUCAACCGUGAAAGCUCCCGGCUAAACUGGGAGAGGUCGGAUGAAACUGCCGAGCUAGAGGGUCGUAGAGGGGUGUGGAAUUCCGGGUGUAGUGGUGAAAUGCGUAGAGAUCCGGAGGAACACCAGAGGCGAAGGCGGCACCCUGGACGACACCAGAUGCUGAGACGCGACAGCACGGGGAGCGAACGG
rnacentral:rRNA from 1 species